CUACGGGUCGCACCAGUGGGGAAUAUUGGACAAUGGGGGAAACCCUGAUCCAGCAAUGCCGCGUGUGUGAAGAAGGCCUGCGGGUUGUAAAGCACUUUCGGUUGGGAGGACUGCUUCUAGCACUAAUAUUGUUGGAAGUUGACGUUACCUUCAGAAGAAGCACCGGCUAACUCCGUGCCAGCAGCCGCGGUGAAUACGGAGGGUGCAAGCGUUAAUCGGAAUUACUGGGCGUAAAGCGCGCGUAGGCGGCUAGAUCAGUCGGGUGUGAAAGCCCCGGGCUUAACCUGGGAACUGCAUCCGAUACUGUCUAGCUUGAGUAGAGGAGAGGAGAGUGGAAUUCCACAUGUAGCGGUGAAAUGCGUAGAUAUGUGGAGGAACACCAAUGGCGAAGGCAGCUCUCUGGCCUGAUACUGACGCUGAGGUGCGAAAGCGUGGGGAGCAAACAGGAUUAGAUACCCGCGUAGUC
rnacentral:rRNA from 1 species